UACGUAGGUGGCAAGCGUUGUCCGGAUUUACUGGGUGUAAAGGGCGUGUAGCCGGGCUGACAAGUCAGAUGUGAAAUCCUGCGGCUUAACCGCAGAACUGCAUUUGAAACUGUUGGUCUUGAGUACCGGAGAGGUUAUCGGAAUUCCUUGUGUAGCGGUGAAAUGCGUAGAUAUAAGGAAGAACACCAGUGGCGAAGGCGGCCUGCUGGACAGCAACUGACGCUGAGGCGCGAAAGCGUGGGGAGCAA
rnacentral:rRNA from 1 species